rnacentral:rRNA from 1 species
GGGGAAUAUUGGACAAUGGGGGCAACCCUGAUCCAGCAAUGCCGCGUGAGUGAUGAAGGCCUUCGGGUUGUAAAGCUCUUUUGGCGGGGACGAUGAUGACGGUACCCGCAGAAUAAGCCCCGGCUAACUUCGUGCCAGCAGCCGCGGUAAUACGAAGGGGGCAAGCGUUGUUCGGAAUUACUGGGCGUAAAGGGCGCGUAGGCGGCCGAUCAAGUCAGGCGUGAAAUUCCCGGGCUCAACCCGGGGGCUGCGCUUGAUACUGAUUGGCUUGAAUACGGGAGAGGAUAGUGGAAUUCCCAGUGUAGAGGUGAAAUUCGUAGAUAUUGGGAAGAACACCAGUGGCGAAGGCGGCUAUCUGGCCCGUUAUUGACGCUGAGGCGCGAAAGCGUGGGGAGCAAAC